rnacentral:piRNA from 1 species
UGUGAUGUUUUACUAGAACAGACUCUUGAGA